rnacentral:rRNA from 1 species
CACGUAGGGCGCAAGCGUUGUCCGGAAUUAUUGGGCGUAACGAGCUCGUAGGCGGUCUGUUGCGUCCGCUGUGAAAACUCGGGGCUUAACCCCGAGCCUGCAGUGGAUACGGGCAGACUAGAGGUAGGUAGGGGAGAAUGGAAUUCCCGGUGUAGCGGUGAAAUGCGCAGAUAUCAGGAGGAACACCGGUGGCGAAGGCGGUUCUCUGGGCAUGUCCUGACGCUGAGGAGCGAAAGCGUGGGGAGCGAACAGG